ACUGGCAAGAACGAUACGAAAAUGAACUACAUGAAGACGAAGAGAGAUUGAGCCAUUAAAGAAUGCGACUAGAUGGGUCAAAACCCCUGGAGGAAUGGUGGUCUUUACGGCAUGCAGCUCGCAAACUCUGCACAAGGAGAAGACAAGUUUAUUCUCAAACAAAGUCUAAAGAAACAUAAGUUUUUAUGCUGAAUUUUCCCAUGGAUUAACCAUCUUUGAAUAAAGUUGUUCUAUUUUCUAUCAGAUUUUUACAGAAUAUUGCUUACAGAGAGUUUACUUAUUUUGUUCAUGGACGCCUUGGAAGACUAAGAUGUUCACUUCCAUCAUGUGCAUAUCACUCUAUAAGAAAACAA